UUGGGUAAAACCAGCUGAACAAAGGAAGGAAAGUGAAACAAAGGAAAAAGUCCUUGUCACUUUCCUUCCUUUGUUCAGCUGGUUUUACCCAAUA
rnacentral:pre_miRNA from 1 species